rnacentral:rRNA from 1 species
UACGUAGGGGGCAAGCGUUGUCCGGAUUUACUGGGCGUAAAGAGCGUGUAGGCGGCCACGCAGGUCCGUUGUGAAAACUGGAGGCUCAACUUCCAGCCGUCGACGGAAACCGUGUGGCUAGAGUCCGGAAGAGGAGAGUGGAAUUCCUGGUGUAGCGGUGAAAUGCGCAGAUAUCAGGAAGAACACCGGUGGUGUAGACGGCUUCUGGACCGUAACUGACGCUGAGACACGAAAGCGUGGGUAGCAAACAGG